AUUGAACGCUGGCGGCAGGCCUAACACAUGCAAGUCGAGCGGAUGAAGGGAGCUUGCUCCUGGAUUCAGCGGCGGACGGGUGAGUAAUGCCUAGGAAUCUGCCUGGUAGUGGGGGAUAACGUCCGGAAACGGGCGCUAAUACCGCAUACGUCCUGAGGGAGAAAGUGGGGGAUCUUCGGACCUCACGCUAUCAGAUGAGCCUAGGUCGGAUUAGCUUGUUGGUGGGGUAAAGGCCUACCAAGGCGACGAUCCGUAACUGGUCUGAGAGGAUGAUCAGUCACACUGGAACUGAGACACGGUCCAGACUCCUACGGGAGGCAGCAGUGGGGAAUAUUGGACAAUGGGCGAAAGCCUGAUCCAGCCAUGCCGCGUGUGUGAAGAAGGUCUUCGGAUUGUAAAGCACUUUAAGUUGGGAGGAAGGGCAGUAAGUUAAUACCUUGCUGUUUUGACGUUACCAACAGAAUAAGCACCGGCUAACUUCGUG
rnacentral:rRNA from 1 species